UCAAAAAUAUGUAGCUCUAAGGCCAUGAAAAACACAGUUUUUUUCAUGGUCCCUUGCUUUUGCUUUUGUACAGUUCCUACAAAUUUUAGCAUAGCAUAACUCACAUUGUGUUGCAAAGAUGUAACGAGUGAGGAAAACAUCUACCUAAAUUACAGAAAUUUUUACAUGCAAAUCUGAAAAUUCUGACUUUACCAUAUUAACUAGCAACUUUAUGUUCAUAGUUUAUGAAAUCUUGAGCUCUUUUCCUGGGAUUUAUGAUUUUUGGUUUUCCCUUAAUUUGGGUGGGAGGGCAACAUUAAUAUGACCCAACAAAGGUCUUUUAAUGACAAAACUGGCAUUUUUGCAUGAUGGGGAAAUGAACAGUAUUGCAAUGUCUGGUACACAAAAUGAUAUUUACUCCAAUGUAGAUAAAAUUACACUAGUUUAAAAUAUGUGCAUUGACUUGUAUUUGUUAGUGUUUUAAUCUUUUUUGAAAGAUAUAUGCUCUGUUAAUGUUGCAAAUUUUUUUUAAUACAUGCUAGUCUAACAUUCCCUGAACUAUGCCUGCAUCUUUAACAAUGGCCAAAGUGAAGAAAGUGCUACCUUUUUUGUUAACAAGACACUGACUUGAAACAUGUGCAUUUAAAGCCUUUUCCUUUUUCCUUUUUUCUUUUGGUGGUGGGGCAUUUAAAGUAUAAGGACAUGGAAAAAUAUUUUUGGGGAGCAGAUCAAGGGCCUAUAAGUUCUUAAGCAUAAAAUUGAAGUGAUUUAUAAUACCAGCGUUAUAUAUUUGCAUUUUUCACAUUUUAGGAGGGAGUAUAUAUGUGUGUGUGUGCACGCAUGCAUGUGUAUGUGUUUUGCUUUUUGUUUACACCAACCGAUCAAAAAGGAUAGAUUCUAGAAAAUGGAGCAUGAUGGGGAAACAGUUUUACUUUAAAUAACAAAUAACUUGUUUUAAUAACUACACUGGGGUAGACGUACUCACUAAAGACAUAGAAUAGAUGCUUCUUAGGGUUUUUUAUGUAUAUGUAUGUUUGUUUUUUUUCUUUGGUUCUAGACUGUUCAGUGUAUGAUUUAUUCAAGGCUACAUGCUUUUCUCUGCUUCUGGCUGUGCAUUUUCUGUUACACGUAGGUUUUAGGGGGGUGGACUGGAUGUUUUUGUUUGGGGACUUAUUUUGCAGUGUUAAGUCUCUUAUAGCCCAACUCUGAAGCCUUCAAUACUGUCCACUCUUUAUAUUCCUUUAAUUUCUGAAGUUAUAAAAGCCCCAGAAUGGCAUAUAACACGAGCCUUUAGAACAUGGGUAAAUCUAUUUGAAUAAUGGUUUAGAAGGUGUGUUAAGAAAUGGAGAUGCUCCAGAGCUCAACGUAAUUUUUUUAAACAGCAAGUUCCAUCUCACUACAAUCCUCUGAAGCUUUUACCCGAGUCCUUUCUUGCCUCUCCAGUGCUUUUUUCCUUCAGAUGGACCUUAAACAUAAUUUCUUGGACACUACUAGAGAGACUUCAAGGCAAUAAUAAAAGAGCAGUAUUAACCAGCUCUAACAGAGGUUUGAUCAUGCUUGUACAGUUUUCCCCCGUUUUAAAAAGGAAUGUAAUAAAAUUUGUUUUUUUUUCCAUAGAAUUAAAUAAUAUUAAAAUUGAGUGAAAGGUUGAUUGCUGGCAAAUAGAAUAGUACCUCUAAUCUGUGCAGUGUCUCAUUUCACCUCAGAAAAAGAUGAUAAGAGGAUUUUCUAAUUUAUUUUAAGAUAUUCUAAUCUCAUUUAAAGAAUUUGACUUGCAUAGGGUUAUUGUGGGCCUUACUGUGUGUGUGUGUAUAUAUAUAUAUAUACACACAUAUCUAUGUGUAUAUAUACAUACAUAUAAAAGUACCUCUGACUCAUUAACAGAAAGAAACACUUGGUACUUCUUUCACUGAUCAUAGGAGGAUGCAUAAUAUUUGGGAUAGAGAAAUAAAUGAGGGAGAAAGAAGUGCUUAAUUAAGUCAUUAUUCAUAUGUUUGUGUAGAAACCAUCUGGUUGUCGCAUAAUGAUACAUUACUUGCAUAUUACAUGCAUAUAGAUUUACCAGUUUUUAAAACAAAUAGAACACAUACACAACUUUGAUGAAAAACUCAGGGUUUCUGUUGGGUGGGAUAAGGUGUCAGGAAAAAUGUAGAUAGCCUUUAAAAACAUUUUAUCAAACUAACCAAAUAUAAGAAUUAUUGGAGACUAUUUCACCUUUAGUUUUAUUCACUACUGAUCAAUCUUUUGUGCAUUCACACUAUAUUAAAACAUAGCUUUACGAACCUAUUUCUGGAUUUGCACUCACAUGUUAGAAUGAGAAGGGUAGGAAUGGUCAUCUUAGGGUUUAAAACAUGAAUAUCUUCUUGAACUCCCUCAAAAAUUAAGGUAAAGAAUAUGAACAAAUCAUUCUGGAAGAACCCAAAUGAAACACCCCAGAUAUUUAAGUGAAAGUUAAAUAUAUUUUCAUAUUGUUGAAUAACUUUUGUAUAAUCUUCAUUGCUAUUAUGAGAGAUAAAAAUGUAUUUAUUAAAUAUGUAUAAUUUCUAUCAUGCCCAUAUCUGAAUUAUUGUAAAAUUGUAUAUUGUUAAAAUUGUGAUUCUUAAUUGUAUUUUAAAAGUAAUUCUUUCUGCUAUUGUUUUUAUGUUACCUAUGAUGAAAAUUGGACUACACACACACACACGCACACACACACUAUUCAAUUUAAAAUUUUUAAUAGUUUUUUUCUUUUUUUGGUGCCUAAUAAUUGGUCAUUUCUGCUGGCUUUUGCUCCACUGAACUUUGAAAUCUUUCUGUACAUGCUAUCAAUAAGAAAAUAUGCUGGAACAUUAGAAAAAAACCACCAAGAGACUUGAUUUCAUCAAGCACUUUAUCAGACUUUUGAGAAGGUAUCGAAGGCAUUGAGAGAAUUGACUUUCAAAAUCAUCUUUUUCUCAAGAAGAAAACAAUGGAAAACAAAUUCUCUUCAUUCAGUGAAUCCUCAGUUUGGGGUCUGGGGAGCUUAGAGACAUUGUGAAAUCAAAUCUUGUGUUACAUUUUUCUCCUGGCUCACUCUUUUUGAGAAGGUUUAUGGGCUAUAUGGCUGGUGAGACACGAUCCCCUCCUAAGAAAAUCCUUUUCAGGAGCCAAAAAAACAAAAACAAACAAACAAAAAAAUACCCAGAGAAAAAACUUUCCUUCUUCCCCCUUCCUGAUGAUGAGUGAGAAGUAUUGAGAACUUUCGGGGUCAGUGCCCUUCUAAACUCCCCUUCCCCCAAUAAUGCAGCUGUAUAAUGAAUGGUAAAUGCAGCGGUUUGGAUUCAGGCACAGCCCCAGCCUGCUUGCAGCAGUGAGAUAAACUGGUAGGUGGCAGCAGAAGAAGGAAUUCUUCAGAUUGAUGGCUACGGAAAGGAUCUACAUAGAAGAGAUAGAGCAUAACAUAUCAAGUCAAGCAAAGGGGGCAUAAAGUGGAAACAGGACUAAAAUUUUUGGAUUUUGACUAAAUGGUUCUUUUGAAGUAACCAGUGAUCAUUUUUGCUUAUUACUUCAUUCACAGAAUGGACGAAGAUAGAUUUGACUGUAUGUCUUUUGAAAUGGAGGAUAGAAAUACCCAGAACAAGGAAGCAGUAGCUCUAACCUUUUUGAUUCAAUGUGUUUCCUAAAAUAAAAAUAUCAGAACUGGGAAUUAAAUAGUAUGGAGUAUGAUUUGUUCCUUUGGCAGUUAUUCCUGCCCACUCCAUCAUACAUGAAUUCACUUUAGACUGUAUGGCUAGACUUGAACUCUAGUUCCACAUGUAUCAUUCUCUUUAUUCUUUUCUUCACUUUGUGAACUCCUUUGGUUCUUGACAUACUAAUUUUUCUAUAAUAUAAUAUAUAUUCUGAAAUGAUUACUUCUCCUCUUAGAACAUAGGCCCUAAAAUAUGUAUAAUUUUACAUGUAAAUAUGUAUUACAUGGAUUUACCCCUGCCUCUCUCCAUCCAAUUUUAUCUGUCCAUGCUGAGUAAGUGUUUCUAUGUUUUUUAAUUUCUGAAGAAAUGCAGCCUUUUUUCUGUUUCACUCUGACAGGGCUCUGGCAUAUGCUUAUCACAGCAUCACUCAUUAUAUUUUAAUCUUCUUGUGACUAGAGGCUGUAUCUGACCCACUAUAUUUGAACUAUAGAAGAUCUGAUACAUACAUGUGUAUACAGAGGCAAUCCUAGUACUUAGGACAAAAAAAUACUGAUAUUCUUUGUAGUCAGGUAUUGAUACAAAUCCUAAUUCCAUUAUUUACUGGUUACAUGGACUUUGGACGAAUCACCCUCUUCAAACCACAAGGGAGUAUUUGUGAAAAUUGGAAAUGAAUGUACCUACAUUACUAGAUUCAUGUGUAAGUACAGUUUUG